rnacentral:tRNA from 1 species
GCGGGAGUGCCGGAGCGGUCAAACGGGCUAUUCAGUGCGCAUGAAAGUGCGUGGUGAGCCUUGGGUUGAGGGCCUAGUAGCUUAGUGCUUACGCGGGUUCGAGUCCCGUCUCCCGCA